UCAUUCAGUGUCUAAACUGUUUUUUUUUUUUCAAAUAUCAUUCCCGCCAAAGGGAAGAAGAAAAUGAUGUUUUGCGGUGUUGAACGGACCCCGUUAUGUCAUGCCAUUGCCAUUUUAACAAAUGCUAAACGGCCCUCAAACGCGUUAAAGCAGUCUGAACUAAAACGGAAGCAGGUGAUGGACAUAACCUCGUUCUGUAAUUAGCUAAUUAUCAGAAUCAAGGAAGGGCCGAGACAAACAAUCUGCCGCCGAGAUUAGCGAGAACGUCAUUACAAAACAGGUGAUGGUAGACCAGAAUGAUAUGCACGGGUGGUUUCCUUCCCAGGCCAGAUGCAAGAGCCGCAGAAGUUGAGGUACGCUGCUUGGAACAUGCUGUUUAUCGUGAGCGAUUGCUCGUCAUGGGCAGUUGCGGUGAUAUGCUGCAACGUAGCCUAGUUUCUUUUUGAAAGAUUAAACCGCAACAAAUGACCCUUUUAACAUUUUCAAUGUCUUCAGUCAAUAAUAAUGGAUUGGUCUAGGACACGCGAAUUAAAUUCCAACUGUUUAACUUCUGACCCACAUGGACCAGCAUGUAUGUCAUCUUUAAAGUCUACGCUUUAAAGGUGGGAAGCAUUAAUCACCUUUUCCAUACACUUCGAGGAUUCAAACCCAUAUAAAUAAACCGUCGAAAUGGCUUUAGAUGGUAAGGUGCUUAUAGCAACCACUAUUAAAGGUGCAUGACCCCUCUGUUUUAAUUAUGAUAGUGUUCAUUGUAACAAGUUUAAGGAGUUUCUCUAGUUUGACUUCCUUAGUCUUUUCUAUCGCACGAUACGAAAUUACACAAGGUCGACUGGUUGGAUUGAACACCUGCAGGAACAAGUUUCCAUAAAAUCAAAUAAUCAUGACCUUCUUUGCUAUGGAGAUUGAACAUAUACAACCUGCGAAAGUUCCUCGGUGGAGUUUCGUGCAAAAACUCUACGUUCAUAACGCCAACGGCACCGGUCAAAUUAUUCGGUUGGAUUGCGUGGCAACGUCCUUCGUCGUGAACGACAAGUGAAUGUGCAGAACUUUGAAUGCAUUGGAAUGCCUUUCUACAUUUCUAAUUUAUGCAUUUGAUGAAACUAGUCAGAAAGACCGGGAUAUAACAAUUCCUUAGUUAUGAUAGUUCACAUGCACAACGUACAUCGGGGUAAUAUAAAAUAUUCUGGGUUACCUCACGCGUCACUCACACAACCUAUUCGUUAAUCGAGAUAACAAUCUGUCUGUCAGUUGUCAAUCAAGAGAGUGUCUUCAAUCAGAAGAUUCCUAAAUGUGUUGAAAUUGAAGGAUAAGAACGUAGACAGUAACCUAUUCAAAAAGCAGUUUAUCAAAGGAAGCAAACACAAUCAGACGGAAAUAAACAUUU